UCCGCGAUAUGGUAAGUACUUAUAUCUAGGGAGUAUAUAAUGUUCUCAAUUUAGAUUAGUCUGGUGGAGUAUUGUGUUGAUUUCUGCCUGUAAAAACCCUUUCUGGCUUCCAUUUGUCCAUAUUUGCAGGAAUUGUUUGUAUCCAGAAUCAGUACUUUUUUUUGAAUAUUUUCUUUUGUUUCAUUUUACUAGAGUUUUCCGGCUUGUGGUAUUGACAGAAGAAUAGUGAUCUCUGUUCUUGUUACUGUUUUUUUCUCGUUAUUGUUGAAAAUUAUAAAACAAAAUUUUCAUAUGUUGCACUGGAUUUGAUUGACAUGAAUCUUGGGUUUCUUUUAAUAGUCAAACCCUGUAUUUGACCUAUAGAACUUCAUUGUUCCUAGAUAUGGAGGGAGGAGAUGCAACAGGUUUUUCUGGGCAAGGCUGUAUUUCCUGCAUUCGUUGACCCAUGAUCUGCAAUGCUAAUGCAUUAUCACGGGCUCUGGGUAUCGAUUCACAGUAUCUGGAGGUAAGGAAACAAUUUGAAGUCCUAGUUAUCUCCAUUAGUCAUGACCUUUUUUUUUUUUGAAAAUAAAAUCAUAACAUAAAUCUCUUCAGAAACAAAUUUCGAAAUUAGCAUGGUCAAUCUUAUAUCAUCAUAGGGAUUAGUCACGACUUGGAAGUAUCAAAUUAAGCAGUUUGCCUACUUGUGCAGAGUUGCCCAUCCGGUAACUCAAGAAGCUUCUCCACCAUGAGAUAUCUGGAUUUUUGAAGCUGAGAGGGUGAAAUUUUGGUAUAUGCUAAGAGCUUAUUAGCCAAAGAUGUGAAAGACCAUUGGAUAUAUAUACUUGAUAGUUCAGGAAGCAACUGGAGCUUAGAGCCUAUAGCACAACCAGCAAGGCAGUCCGUCCACUAUAUACGGAAGCAAGCAACAACAGCCCGUGAAUAAGGAGUUAUGUAUAUCAUGUGUGUCGUAGGUUACAAACUUCAGAUGCAUCGCAAGAUGGAAUUCUGAAUGUUCCAUGGUUCUGUUGUAUCAUAUUUGACAUCUUGGCUAAAUAAAGAGUGCUUCCGCCCAAUUUUCUUUACUUUUUCCCCUUUGGGUGAAGAGGUGAAGCUGUUGUGAGGGAACGAGGCGGAGUUGGGUUUUGAUUUGUUAAUGCACCACAUAUAUUCGCAUAUGUAUUUAUUACGUGCUUUAGCAAUAUUGAGUUGGUUAUAUAAUUCCUGAGCUAUGUAUUUGAGUUAUUAUAGUUUGAUAGCACAAAGCCAUGGCACUUUACUAGUAAUAAUUUUGAAGACUGUCUCCUCGAGUUGAGGCUUUGUCGGAACCGUUAUUCAAUGAAUUAAGUAGUUGAAAUUUUUUGCAGGGUGGAUGUUUAUAGUGUUCUUGCUCAUGUAGUACUUUCAUAAUCCUUAUUUUUCGUAAUCUUUUAUGUGAAAAAUAGCAAGUGGGG
rnacentral:lncRNA from 1 species